UGGGCGAAAGCCUGACGGAGCAACGCCGCGUGAGGGAAGAAGGCCUUCGGGUUGUAAACCUCUGUUUUCAGGGAAGAAAAAAUGACGGUACCUGAAGAGUAAGCUCCGGCUAACUACGUGCCAGCAGCCGCGGUAAUACGUAGGGAGCAAGCGUUGUCCGGAUUUACUGGGCGUAAAGGGCGCGUAGGUGGUUUGUUAAGUUAUAGGUGAAAGUUCGGGGCUCAACCCCGUGAUUGCCUGUGAUACUGGCAGACUUGAGUGCAGGAGAGGGGAGCAGAAUUCCCAGUGUAGCGGUGAAAUGCGUAGAUAUUGGGAGGAAUACCAGUGGCGAAGGCGGCUCUCUGGACUGUAACUGACACUGAGGCGCGAAAGCGUGGGGAGCGAACAGGAUUAGAUACCCUGGUAGUCCACGCCGUAAACGAUGAGUGCUAGGUGUUGCGGGUAUCGACCCCUGCAGUGCCGUAGUAAACACAAUAAGCACUCCGCCUGGGGAGUAC
rnacentral:rRNA from 1 species